UGGGGAAUAUUGCACAAUGGGCGCAAGCCUGAUGCAGCCAUGCCGCGUGUAUGAAGAAGGCCUUCGGGUUGUAAAGUACUUUUAGCGGGGAGGAAGGGAGUAAAGUUAAUACCUUUGCUCAUUGACGUUACCCGCAGAAGAAGCACCGGCUAACUCCGUGCCAGCAGCCGCGAUAAUACGGAGGGUGCAAGCGUUAAUCGGAAUUACUGGGCGUAAAGCGCACGCAGGCGGUUUGUUAAGUCAGAUGUGAAAUCCCCGGGCUCAACCUGGGAACUGCAUCUGAUACUGGCAAGCUUGAGUCUCGUAGAGGGGGGUAGAAUUCCAGGUGUAGCGGUGAAAUGCGUAGAGAUCUGGAGGAAUACCGGUGGCGAAGGCGGCCCCCUGGGCGAAGACUGACGCUCAGGUGCGAAAGCGUGGGGAGCAAACAGG
rnacentral:rRNA from 1 species